GAGGUUGGGGCCCUGUAGCUCCUUCAUGCAUGUGUUCAUUUCUGGCUUAAAAGGUGUCUAUCCUCUUGCAGGAAGUGGGAGAAGCUGAGAAGGUGAAGCCGCUAAUGAUGUAACUUGCAGAUCCCUGCUGGAUCAACUCAUUUCUCUGUGCAGAAGAUCAGCCACUGUUCAAGGAAUAUAGAGCCCCACUCAGGGCCAAGGAGAGGCUCCAGAAAAAUCACAAACACAAGAAUGUGUGUGAGGUACUGGAUAAAGCUGAGCAUGCUGUCCCAGGCAUGGGGCCUUCUCACCGGUUCUCUGAAGCCACCCCCUCCUUUAUGCCUUGAGGCUGCUUGCUGAUGCCAGGAGUAAAAGAAAUGACUCCUG
rnacentral:lncRNA from 1 species